CUAAUAAAUUAAGUUAAACAUGUCAUAAGAGGCUAACACAGAAUGGUAAAGGAAAUCUCCAUUAAACCCAGAGAAGAGAUGAUAAAACUCCUCUUACCCUGUCUGGAGUAACAGAU